AAGGGCUGGAGAGGUGGCUCAGAGGUUAA
rnacentral:piRNA from 1 species